UAAUUUGAGAGUUUGAUCCUGGCUCAGGACGAACGCUGGCGGCGUGCCUAAUACAUGCAAGUCGAACGAACUCUGGUAUUGAUUGGUGCUUGCAUCAUGAUUUACAUUUGAGUGAGUGGCGAACUGGUG
rnacentral:rRNA from 1 species